rnacentral:rRNA from 1 species
CCUACGGGAGGCAGCAGUGGGGAAUUUUGGACAAUGGGCGCAAGCCUGAUCCAGCCAUGCCGCGUGAGUGAAGAAGGCCUUCGGGUUGUAAAGCUCUUUCGGACGGAAAGAAAUCGCGCAGGCUAAUACCCUGCGCGGAUGACGGUACCGUCAUAAGAAGCACCGGCUAACUACGUGCCAGCAGCCGCGGUAAUACGUAGGGUGCGAGCGUUAAUCGGAAUUACUGGGCGUAAAGCGUGCGCAGGCGGUUGAUUAAGACAGGCGUGAAAUCCCCGGGCUUAACCUGGGAACUGCGCUUGUGACUGGUCAGCUAGAGUACGGCAGAGGGGGGUGGAAUUCCACGUGUAGCAGUGAAAUGCGUAGAGAUGUGGAGGAACACCGAUGGCGAAGGCAGCCCCCUGGGCCGAUACUGACGCUCAUGCACGAAAGCGUGGGUAGCAAACAGGAUUAGAUACCCUGGUAGUCCACGCCCUAAACGAUGUCAACUAGUUGUUGGGAGGGUAAAACCUUUUAGUAACGUC